rnacentral:rRNA from 1 species
UACAGAGGGUGCAAGCGUUAAUCGGAAUUACUGGGCGUAAAGCGUGCGUAGACGGUCAUGUAAGUCGGGUGUGAAAGCCCCGGGCUCAACCUGGGAAUUGCAUUCGAGACUGCAUGGCUAGGAUGCGGAAGAGGGAUGCGGAAUUCCCGGUGUAGCGGUGGAAUGCGUAGAGAUCGGGAAGAACAUCAGUGGCGAAGGCGGUCUGCUGGGCCGUUGCUGACGCUGAGGGCGCGACAGCGUGGGGGAG